rnacentral:rRNA from 1 species
UACGUAGGGGGCGAGCGUUGUCCGGAUUUAUUGGGCGUAAAGAGCGCGCAGGCGGUCGUUCAAGUCGCGUGUGAAAGCCCCCGGCUCAACUGGGGAGGGUCACGCGAUACUGAUCGACUCGAAGGCAGGAGAGGGUAGUGGAAUUCCCGGUGUAGUGGUGAAAUGCGUAGAUAUCGGGAGGAACACCAGUGGCGAAGGCGGCUCACUGGCCCGGUACUGACGCUGAGGCACGAAAGCGUGGGGAGCAAACAGG